UACGGGGGAGCAAGCGUUGUUCGGAUUUACUGGGCGUAAAGGGCGCGUAGGCGGUCAGCACAAGUCAGUUGUGAAAUCUCCGGGCUUAACUCGGAACGGUCAACUGAUACUGUGCGACUAGAGUGCAGAAGGGGCAACUGGAAUUCUCGGUGUAGCAUGAAAUGCGUAGAUAUCAGGAGGAAUACCGAUGGCGAAGGCAGGUCUCUGGGCUGACACUGACGCUCAUG
rnacentral:rRNA from 1 species